UACAGAGGUCUCAAGCGUUGUUCGGAUUCAUUGGGCGUAAAGGGUGCGUAGGCGGCGUGGUAAGUCGGAUGUGAAAUCUCGGAGCUUAACUCCGAAACUGCAUUCGAUACUGCCGUGCUUGAGGACUGGAGAGGAGACUGGAAUUCAUGGUGUAGCAGUGAAAUGCGUAGAGAUCAUGAGGAAGACCAGUGGCGAAGGCGGGUCUCUGGACAGUUCCUAACACUGAGGCACGAAGGCCAGGGGAGCAAACGGG
rnacentral:rRNA from 1 species